rnacentral:lncRNA from 1 species
AGUAGUGGACUGUGCACCCGGUGGAAACCGCGGCAGCGCGUGGGCUGGCGCACGGCCCCGGCCGGCUAAGACUAGGCUUUUAAUACUCAGGCCACCCCCCACCCCCCUUUGCACCCAACGUGGGAGCGGUUGGCUUUUAUUGAAGCAUUUCAGACGACUUUGCAGAAAGGUCGGCCUGCCUUCGUUUGGCGGGAAGGAUGCCCUGAGGUGCUGCCAGGCUAUACUUCCAGCAUUGGAGCCAGGUGGGAAAGCAAAGCAAAAGCAAAGCAAAACAGCAACCAAAACCCACAAAGUGGUUGGUUAA